rnacentral:tRNA from 1 species
AGGUAAUUAGUUUAAGAAAAACAUUUGAUUUCGGCUCAAAAACCUGUGGUUUAAAUCCAUAAUUGCCUA